GCAGCCAGUGCAGAGUGAGGUGCUGGGGGCUGCAGAAGGAUAGCCUCCCUCCACCUGCUGGCAGUAGAGUGGUCCCUUGGCCAGGGCUACAGCCCUGGAGCCACCCUUGGGCAUCCCUGCCCUUUCACUCCAAUCCUGUUUCAAGCUUCUCUGUGAAGAUGAGACCAACACUCACAGAGGGCCACUGGAAGCUGAGAUACCCAGAGCUCAGGGGCUGUCUCUGCAGCAGAAACACAUGCAGUGGGAGCAUGAGCGGGGCCUGGAGCUAAUGUGUGCUACCAUGCUGUAGGAUGAAAGGAGGUUUCCAUCUGGAUACAGCCCUAAAAGAACCAGCUUGCUGCACUGGGAGAAGGGACAAAAUUUGUGAUAAAAGAUGUAGAACUACAGCAGUCUUGAUUGGAUCUGAGAUGUAAAUAAGAAUACUUUUUAUUGGUGAUCAUAUAAACACUUCAACUACCUCUGGAAUCUCAUGAAAUAUUGGCAUUAAUUUUAGGUAGCUUUCCAGAAGAAUGCAUUAAUCGUGCGACAACAUAAAUACAGUGAACAGUUAGAAAAUAAG